rnacentral:lncRNA from 1 species
UGGAGGUGACGCGGAGGCAGGACUACGAGCGGAUGCAGCAGCGGUUCGACUGGGGCGAGGACUCCAUCUACAACCAGGACGCCAUCGAACUCUCCGCCGGCAGAUAACGACGGCGGCGCCGCGUCAGGCAGAGCUCGCCGUCGCAGUGCUGACGUAAAUACGAAACCUGUCAGCGAAAUGGCUGCUGCUACUUGGUGUUGAUAGAUAAUUACGGUACGUAUCAUAUAGUAAAGUGCUGUGUAUACGGAUCGUUGCGAUGAUUCAAACAAACCACGCGCCGCCCGUUCCGUAGAGGGGAAGGCUGGAGACGCAUGUGCCGCCCGGUUCAAACCACAUGUAAGCACCGGCUGGACGAAGUCGAGUCGGCGUCCAUUGGGUUGUGUUCUGCUAUCACGCG